UACAGAGGGGGCAAGCGUUGUCCGGAUUUAUUGGGUUUAAAGGGUGCGUAGGCGGUCUUCUAAGUCAGUUGUGAAAUACUUCAGCUUAACUGGAGAGGUGCAAUUGAUACUGGAAGACUUGAGUACUGAUGAGGUAGGCGGAAUGGACGGUGUAGCGGUGAAAUGCUUAGAUAUCGUCCAGAACACCGAUAGCGAAGGCAGCUUACUAAGGAGUAACUGACGCUGAGGCACGAAAGUGUGGGGAUCAAACAGG
rnacentral:rRNA from 1 species